AGUGAACGCUGGCGGCGUGCCUUAUACAUGCAAGUCGAACGAGAACGGAUCUAGUUUACUAGAUUGUCAGCUAAGUGGCGCACGGGUGAGUAAUGUAUAGCUAACAUGCCUUUUAGUGGGGGAUAACGAUUGGAAACGAUUGCUAAUACCCUAUACUCCUCCUAUGUGGGAAUUUAGGAGGGAAAGAUUUAUCGCUAAAAGAUUGGGCUAUAUGAUAUCAGGUAGUUGGUGAGGUAAUGGCUCACCAAGCCUUCGACAUCUAACUGGUUUGAGAGGAUGAUCAGUCACACUGGAACUGAGACACGGUCCAGACUUCUACGGAAGGCAGCAGUAGGGAAUAUUGCACAAUGGGGGAAACCCUGAUGCAGCAACGCCGCGUGGAGGAUGAAGGUUUUCGGAUCGUAAACUCCUUUUAAUAUGAGAAGAUAAUGACGGUAUCAUAUGAAUAAGCACCGGCUAACUCCGUGCCAGC
rnacentral:rRNA from 1 species